AUGGCGCUAAGCGUCGCGCAAUCCCUGGUGGGAAGUGCCGUAAACAGGGCGGCCUCCGAGGCCAUGGAUGAGAUGGCAUUGCUCAUGGGAGUGCGGAACGAGACAUGGUACAUCAAAGACGAGCUAAGAAUAAUGCAAGCUUUCUUGAGAACUGCUGAAAGGAUGAAGGAUAGAGAUGAGCUGGUCAAAGUUUGGGCAGAGCAAGUAGAGGAUCUAUCCUACCACAUUAAAUAUUGCAUGGACGAGUUCCAGGUAAAUAUGGGCCACCCAAGCUGCUUGCAUAGGCUGACGAAGCUUAGAGUUCGCCAUCAAAUUGCCGUCCAGAUCCGCAACCUGAAAGUAAGAGUUGGAGAUGUAAGCGCCAGGAUCCAGCGGUAUAGUCAUUUAAUGAGGCCCAUUACCUCUGCAAGCAUGGAUGAGGGGAAAUUAUGCAAGGACGAGACCACUUCUUUCAUGGAAGGUAUCUGCAUUCAUUCACAUGGAUUUUUUGAUGAAUCAGAGCUUGUGGGCUUUUCUAGGCCGAAUGAGGAGUUGAUUAAUCUGAUGGAUGUUUUCUAUACCUAA
rnacentral:rRNA from 1 species